rnacentral:rRNA from 1 species
GAUGAACGCUGGCGGCGUGCCUAAUACAUGCAAGUCGAGCGAAUGGAUUAAGAGCUUGCUCUUAUGAAGUUAGCGGCGGACGGGUGAGUAACACGUGGGUAACCUGCCCAUAAGACUGGGAUAACUCCGGGAAACCGGGGCUAAUACCGGAUAACAUUUUGAACGGCAUGGUUCGAAAUUGAAAGGCGGCUUGGGCUGUCACUUAUGGAUGGACCCGCGUCGCAUUAGCUAGUUGGUGAGGUAACGGCUCGCCAAGGCAACGAUGCGUAGCCGACCUGAGAGGGUGAUCGGCCACACUGGGACUGAGACACGGCCCAGACUCCUACGGGAGGCAGGAGUAGGGAAUCUUCCGCAAUGGACGAAAGUCUGACGGAGCAACGCCGCGUGAGUGAUGAAGGCUUUCGGGUCGUAAAACUCUGUUGUUAGGGAAGAACAAGGGCUAGUUGAAUAAGCUGGCACCUUGACGGUACUUAACCAGAAAGCCACGGCUAACUACGUGCCAGCCGCCGCGGUAA